GACGGAGGGCGCUAGCGUUGUUCGGAAUCACUGGGCGUAAAGGGCGCGUAGGCGGCUGUGGCAGUCGGGUGUGAAAGCCCGGAGCUCAACUCCGGAAUGGCACUCGAGACGCCACGGCUGGAGGCCGGAAGAGGAGGGUGGAAUACCCAGUGUAGAGGUGAAAUUCGUAGAUAUUGGGUGGAACACCGGUGGCGAAAGCGGCUCUCUGGUCCGGACCUGACGCUGAGGCGCGAAAGCGUGGGGAGCAAACAGG
rnacentral:rRNA from 1 species